UACGGGGGGGGCAAGCGUUGUUCGGAAUUACUGGGCGUAAAGGGCUCGUAGGUGGCCAACUAAGUCAGACGUGAAAUCCCUCGGCUUAACCGGGGAACUGCGUCUGAUACUGGAUGGCUUGAGUUCGGGAGAGGGAUGCGGAAUUCUAGGUGUAGCGGUGAAAUGCGUAGAUAUCUGGAGGAACACCGGUGGCGAAGGCGGCAUCCUGGACCGACACUGACACUGAGGAGCGAAAGCCAGGGGAGCAAACGGG
rnacentral:rRNA from 1 species